AAGGUAUAUGGGUACUUUCUUUUCUUGUUAAUUAAGGCAUGAUUUGAUUUGCUAGCUUUGUGUUGUGCACAGUAUCAGAGAUAACUAUAUCUAUUAUCCUGUAUAUUCUUAUUUUUUGUGGCCAUCGGAUGCAUGCAGGUGGUGACACAAUGGAAACAAUUCACGUAAAAGAGUCAACAAUAAUACGGCCUGCUCAAGAAACCCCCAGACAUUGCCUACGGUUGAGUGAUUUAGACCUGCUGAUGCCGGCAAGUCACAUCCCCAGUGUGUAUUUCUACCGAGGGCCAAAUUACCCUUGCAAUUUCUUUGAAGGUGGUUUACUGAAGGAGGCUUUGAGUAAAGUUCUUGUCCCGUUUUACCCCUUGGCCGGAAGAUUGGGUAAAGAUGAAAAUGGCAGAAUUGAAAUAAAAUGCAAAGGAGAGGGAGUUUUAUUUAUUGAAGCUGAAACGAGUUAUGUCACUGAUGAUUUUGGUGACUUUGAAUCAAGCUCGAAGCUCGUGCAACUUGUUCCACCUGUUGAUCGCACGAAAGAUGCAUGUUUUCAUCCACUUAUUAUGGCACAGGUAGAAGAAUAAGAAUAAAAAGAGAGCUCGUGUAUUUCCUCAUUUUAUUAAAAAUGAAAUUAGGAGCUAUUCCAUCAAAAGAAUUAUUCAUAAUACUCACUCAAACUUAGUCACUUUAUUUCUUUAUAGGUAACUCAUUUUAAGUGUGGAGGAGUUUCUCUUGGACUUAUGAUGCAUCAUCUGCCAAUGGACGGAACUACGGCAUAUCACUUCAUGAACUCAUGGGCUGAGAUGUCGCGUGGCAUUCCUAUUAGCGUUCCACCAAUCUUUGAUCGAACUAUACUAGAUGUUGGAGUCCCAACUUCUCCAUCAUUUCACCACAUCGAACACGAUCCCCCUCCUUUCAUGAAUAGUCCUACUCAAAAUCCUCAAGCCAUUUCCACUGCAAUCCUGAAAUUAUCACCUGAUCAAAUGAACAUCCUUAAAGAAAAAUCUAAGGGAGAUCACGGAUCCACCGUCAAGUAUACUAGAUUUGAGAUUGUAGCAGCACAUAUAUGGCGCUGCGCAUGUAAAGCACGAGGGUUGUCUAUUGAUCAAGCUACCAAGUUAGAGAUUCCCACAUCUGGGCGAUUUAAAUUGAAUCCUAAAAUUCCACUUGGGUAUUGUGGCAAUGUAAACUUCAGCGCCACACCAAUGGCCUUGUCAGGUGAUAUUCAAUCGGAAUCGUUAAAUUGUACAACAGAGAGAAUUCAUGAAGCAAUUAAAUUGAGGGAUGACAAGUAUAUGAAGUCAGGGCUUGCCUACCUAAAGCAACAACCUGAUUUAACAGUUAUCAGGCGAGACCCCAAAAUUAUUAAUUGUCCAAACCUGCUGAUAACCAAAGUAGCAGACAUGCCUAUGUACGAGGUAGAUUUUGGAUGGGGUCGGCCGGUGUUUACGACGCCUUGGGCCGCCGUGGACGGAGAGAUUUUCAUUUUACCUGGUCCAACCAAUGAUGGGAGCUGGUUGGUGGUUGUAGACAUGGAAACUAACCACUUGCAGCACUUCAACAAGUAUUUUUAUGAUAUCUUUCCGUAAUCCCACGAUGUAAUAAUGUCUUUGGGUGGAUACUUACGAUUGGGUCCGCCUUCGUUACACUUAAUGUAACUUACGGUGAGUCUGUGAAGUUUCAUCUAAUCUCCUAUGUUCUAUGUAAUUUAUAUUUUAUUCAUGAAUAUUAUAAACUUUUUGAAAUGUCAAAUUUCGUUUAACCCCUUAUACUCAAUUUUAUUUUAUUGAAAUCUUAGAGUAUGAAUUCGCCUCUAUAAUUUUAAACUCUCAAAAUAAUUUUUAUUUAAUUAAAAAAUAUAAUUAUUGUUAAAUGAAUUAUAAUUAUAAUUAUUAUUUUAUUAUAAUCAUAAACUGCUGUACUAUAAUCAUAAAUAUUUUUUAAAUAAAUUAUUAUUAUUAUUAAUAAUAAGAAUAAAAGAUAUUAUAAUUAAUUAAUCUAUUAACAAUAAUUAAUAAUAUUUUUUAACCCGUAAACACCGGCCGACCCCAUGCAAAAUCUACCUCGUACAUAGGCAUGUCUGCUACUUUGGUUAUCAGCAGGUUUGGACAAUUGACCCUCUUAUUAUUUGCUGAUAUGUUUCUAAUAAUGAACCCCCUUUUGUCCUUUUGAAAUGAUUAAUGAAGUGCUUGAGUGCAUUGAAGUUAUUUUAAAAGUACACAUAAAGAUUUGACAUUUACUUAUUUUUUAAAAAUAAAAAAGCAGGUAAAAUUUAAAUUAAUUUUUUAUUUCUUAUUUUUUAAUUCAGAUUGUCAAUUGAAUCCAUUUGUUAAAAAAUUAUUUAAUUAUCUCUUUAUGUUCGAACGAUGAUGACUUUAAAUAAUAAUUCUUACAAAUCACUCAAUUAAGUCCACCGGGCCAAUUAAAUAUUAUUUGUUUAUAUUAAUUUUAAUUCAAUUGAAAUUCCAUAGUAAUUUAACCUAAAGUUUAACACUCACAAAUAAUUUAUAGUUCAUUGUAAUUCCACAAAAUUAUUAGUUCUUGUAAUUUAAAUUAUUUUAAGGAAUUGAAUCAUAAUAUUUUGAAUUUAAUUCAAUCUUUCACGUGACUUUGUUGAAUAAAACUGACGGAUGUGUUUUAUAUAUUUAAAUUGUUAGGAUUUUUUUAAUUUAAAUUGUUAGAAAGUAAUGGAUUAAAUUUAUAGCAAUUUCUGGAUGUGUUUUAUGUAUGUUAGGAUUUUUCUAAUUUAAAUUGUUGGAGAUAAUGGAAUAAAUUAUAAAAAUUUGUGGGUGUGUUUUAUAUAUUUAAAUUGUUAUGUUAAUGGACAAAAUGUUAUAAAAGUUUCUAAUUACUUAUUCUUAAUACAAAUGUUAAUUAUUUUGUAGAAAUGGAGAAUUUGGAAAAUGAGCAUGCAUUUGAAGAGUUGCAAGAAACAAGAGCCAACAAUGUAGAUAAAAUUAUGCAACCGAAAAAAUAUGACCCAACUCUUGGGAUAUUAUUUAAUAGUCAUGAAAAAAUGUUUGCAUUUUACAAAGUCUAUGAUAAAUAAGAAGGGUUCCUGUAAAGGUUCGAACUACUAAGAAAGUGACUGAUGAAAUUGUAAAAUAUGCGACAUUUGCAUGUGGUCGUAGCGACAAGUUAGAAAGGAAAUCUGUUAAUGCAUUGAAGCCGAAACCUAAUGUGAAAAAUGGUUGUGAUGCAAAAAUUGGAGGUUGUCUAAAUGAAGAAGGAAAAUGGGUCCUUCGAACUUUAAAUCUUCAACACAACCAUGGAUUGAGUCCAGACAAAGCUAGGUAUUACACAAAAUCAAACAAAUUAACGAACUAAAAUAGUUCCUCUAUGGAAGGAAAGUGAGAGGGAGAGAGUAUAUACAAAUGAGAGGUGACGGCAAAAGAAAUUUGCAAAAGAAAGUCUGCAAAAUUUGUAGAUCUAUUGGCUUUGUGCUGCAUCGACGGCAAAGGAAAAUCUACAAGGUUGGUUGGCAUGGUCACGGUAGAGAAGAGAUAAGGUUGGUUAGCCGGUUCUGUGAUGGUAGAGAAGAGAUAAAAAAAUCGUAAAAUUGAUUUUGUGAAAGACAAUUAGAGAUAAAGUAGAGACGGUUGAGAAGAAAUAAGGUUUGAUCUGAUAUCCUUUUCAGACUUCUCUUUUAUUUUUUUAUUAAUAUUUAUUUUUUUUUUAAAGUAACUAUGGGCCCAUGAAGAGAAAAUGAUAAGUGAACGAAACGCAACGAGUGGCUUUAUUUCUUUUUCGAGCCCGUUUUAUAAUUAAAGUGUACAUAUUGAUUAGGUGGCUAAAUUAUUCAAUAACCAUAUUUAAAUGUAGCGCAGCGUGAAUGUUACUUUGAAAUUUUAGAAAAUCAAACAACUUGGAUAAGGUAAUUGAUUCCGCGUGUGGAAUAAAAAAAACUUAUCUCAAAAUAUUGGCUUUAAACGCAAGUUCAUCGGUAUACAUAUGUCCGAAAUGAACUCAUUUUUCAUUUACCAUAAGAAUUCUGAAGUCUUAGAGCUCCCAACCCCCAGGUAUAUGGGUACUUUCUUUUCUUGCUAAUUAAGGCAUAAUUUGAUUUGUGUUGUGCAUAGUAUCAGAGUUAACUAUAUCUAUUAUCCUGUAUAUUCUUAUUUUUCGUGGCCAUCGGAUGCAUGCAGGUGGUGACACAAUGGAAACAAUUCACGUAAAAGAGUCAACAAUAAUACGGCCUGCUCAAGAAACCCCCAGACAUUGCCUACGGUUGAGUGAUUUAGACCUGCUGAUGCCGGCAAGUCACAUCCCCAGUGUGUAUUUCUACCGAA
rnacentral:lncRNA from 1 species